UGGCGGACGGGUGAGUAACGCGUGGAAAACCUGCCGUAUACUGGGGGAUAACACUUAGAAAUAGGUGCUAAUACCGCAUAAGCGCACAGCUUCGCAUGAAGCGGUGUGAAAAACUCUGGUGGUAUACGAUGGUUCCGCGUCUGAUUAGUUAGUUGGUGGGGUAAUGGCCUACCAAGGCAACGAUCAGUAGCCGGCCUGAGAGGGUGAACGGCCACAUUGGGACUGAGACACGGCCCAAACUCCUACGGGAGGCAGCAG
rnacentral:rRNA from 1 species